GCUGUGGCUCGGUCCCGAUCGGGUCCCGGUCUCGUUCGGUGCUCUCGAAAUAAAGUUGACCAAGAACUGGAACAAGAUGUCAUCUGUGCUCCAGAAUGUCAAAGCAACAGUGGUGUGGCGGAAACACCAGCUCCUAGCUGACCUUAGUGAGAAUGAGAGCCCUAUGCCUGACAAUUUCAAGAGAAGGGCCUUUCUGAGUUCUCUCAAUACCAUUCGCAUGUCUUUAAGAAAACGGGCACCAUUAAAGCGAGUAGAGCUGCAUUUUCAUAAAUCCCCAACUAGGGGAAGUCCAGAACGAAGACAGAGGUGCCAAACUCUUCAGACAAUUAAAAGAACAGCAAAAUAUGCUUUUGGAACAGUGUCCCAGAAAAUACAGAAGUCUUGCCAAAGCCCAGUAUGCUCAGUGGUGACCUUUCCAGCUGAAUCCAUCAGCAGAAGCUGUGCGACCAGUUCUACCACAAAAAGAAGUGCUACACCUCAAACACCUUUCUAUAAGAGCAUUACUCCAGCAACCAGUCCUAAAGGCACUCCAAGUUCUGGCAAAAGGGCCUUGCUUGGACCAACAAGGGCACCAGAACAUAGAGAAUGGAGGGAUUUCUCAUCCUGGCUUGGUAAAAAUGCUGUCUCUCUCCGGAGAUCCAGAAGAGCAGCAGCACUAAAGAGCCCUUAUUCAUCACCUGCUCCUUCCAGCAGAAAGAUAGAGUUUGAUUGCGAGUUGGAACUGGUCUCAUCAGGGAUUUGCCAGUUGAAGCAUAUCUCUCAAGCAUUUGAUGAUGCCAUUGUGAAAGAGGAGAGGAAACAAGCAAUAUCAAACUACUACUAUCUAAUGGCACAAAACUCACAGUCUGUACAUCAGUCCCUGAAACCAUCUCAAGCUAUCAGAAGGCAAGCAAAGAAGCUCCAUCAAGUGCUUGGUACCUAGACAAAGAUGGCUGUAACUAUUUUUUCAUGUUUCCAAAUUUGAGCACGUAUGAAGGAGAUGUCUGUAUAGCACCUGAAAGGCUGUGUUCUAUAUACACUUAAUGAGCUGUUAUACUUUUUUUUUUUUUAUGAAGCAGCUCAGGACUUCCCUUGCUUUCUCUUUUCAAGUAAAGAGUGAAUCAAAAUAGUACCAACCACAGUGCAUCAUCUUCUGCUGAGAUGAGGAAACCACCCUGAAAGUGACUUUCAUGAGACAGUAAGAACCUAGGAACUAAUGCUGAACUGGCCAGAAAGAAUGGCCAAAGCAAGGGCUUAUGAUAGAUUUAUGAAGGGUAAUUCUAGGUAAGAGUAGUGUUUAAACUGGUAUCCAGCAGUCAUGAGAUUUAGCACAAAUACUUUCCAUGUUAAAAAGAUUGGCCUAUUAUUUUGAAAGCCUAACUUGUUAUUUUGGGUUUUUUUGUUGCUGUUGGCAAACUAGAAGUUAUUCAUCAUGUUAGCUGGAAGUUAAUAAAACACUAGUGGCUUCUUUGAGUUCUAAGCAAAACUGUCAUUCCAAAGCAACAGGCUUCUGUGGAGUCACUCAUGCCUCAAGAAUGGAGCCAUAUUAGGACUCUUACUUCAUGGAUUUAAGGAUUAGCCUAACUAAUCCUAUUUUAGGUAGUUUGGUUCCAGACAAAUCAGAGCAACUUUGUUAUUUCUUAUUGCUGCUUUAGAUAGCAUCUUGGGAGUUGAAUUAAACAUUGCUUUUGUGAUGUAUCUGUCUUUUAGUUAUAUAUGAAAAUUUGUUACUACAAUUUGUUAUUACAAUUGCAAAUGUACAAGAAAUAAUACAAAACAAAUACAAGUUGUUACUACUCUUGAAACUACUGUUAUUAAUUAGUAUCAUGGUUAAAGUAUUUUGAUUAUGUAUACUUAACAUUUGAUACCUGUAUUUUGCUUCUAAUUACUCUAAAAAAAAUUAUAACAUUCAUUUGACAAGCCUUUUUUGGUAGGUCAUUCAGUAUAAUGAAGUUAAGUCUUUCAAACUAAAGCAAAGAUUCCUCAAGUAGAAUUCAACACCAGGGCUGUUUUCCAUGAGCACAGACUGACAGCCAAAAGCCACAGAGCGAGUGCUCCAGUCACACCUGGGGUCAUCCUGCUCCUGGGCUGUGACCCACUCCUGGAGCAGGCUGAACUGAGAGAGCCAGAUCAGCUCCUGCAAGAUGUGAUACAUGAAAGCAACUCUUCCAGCCUGAAGACUUCUAGAGUUCCAGAUGACAAAGAACUUACCUUAUGUUAUUUCUUGAUGUAAUGUUUGUGUGUGUUUUGUGGGCUGUUUUUUAGGAUUUUUUAACAACUUUUCUAUAUAUAGAAAAGUAUAGUAUCUCAAAGUCAUUCUUUGCAUGUCCUGAAACUAUUCCUAUAAAGCUUCCACAAAGAUGUUGUCUCAUUAGUGAAAUGACUUUUUCUGUGACUUUUGAAAAUUAAGGAGGGUUAGAAUUUUUCAGAAGUUGACCUCCAAUCUAAGUAUUACUUCAGACAGAUCAAACAGCCUUUACUUAUAAUGUUUCCACCAGUUACUUGGACAAUCAUGAUCCAAUAUUUAUCAAAUUACUGGUAACAAAAAUCAGUGACAGUGUUUGUUUAAAGGCAAGGAAGAUUUUAUUUAAGUGGCUAAGAUUUUAAAAACCAGCUCACAUCAAAAUCUAUAGCAGUUGUAGAAAUCUUACUCCUUAUUUCAUAGUAAGAAAUUCAUUAUUGUACAUUUUUGAAUCUUUACAAUGCAGCCAUAAGAAAUAUAAACAUUUGUCACCAGAUAGAACCUUCUCACUGACAAUAUUUAAAAGUAAGCACUUAAUAAAACUAUAGACUGAAAGAACACCUACAAUUUCAAGUUUCCUUGUGUGAAUUCAGUUGUAAAGGGACUG